AGUGAACGCUGGCGGUAGGCCUAACACAUGCAAGUCGAACGGCAGCACAGAGGAGCUUGCUCCUUGGGUGGCGAGUGGCGGACGGGUGAGGAAUACAUCGGAAUCUACUCUGUCGUGGGGGAUAACGUAGGGAAACUUACGCUAAUACCGCAUACGACCUACGGGUGAAAGCAGGGGAUCUUCGGACCUUGGGCGAUUGAAUGAGCCGAUGUCGGAUUAGCUGGUUGGCGGGGUAAAGGCCCACCAAGGCGACGAGCCGUAGCUGGUCUGAGAGGAUGAUCAGCCACACUGGAACUGAGACACGGUCCAGACUCCUACGGGAGGCAGCAGUGGGGAAUAUUGGACAAUGGGCGCAAGCCUGAUCCAGCCAUACCGCGUGGGUGAAGAAGGCCUUCGGGUUGUAAAGCCCUUUUGUUGGGAAAGAAAUCCAUCUGGUUAAUACCCGGGUGGGAUGACGGUACCCAAAGAAUAAGCACCGGCUAACUUCGUGCCAGCCGCCGCGGUAA
rnacentral:rRNA from 1 species